rnacentral:rRNA from 1 species
GACGAACGCUGGCGGCGUGCUUAACACAUGCAAGUCGAACGGUGAAGCGCCUUCCUUUUUGGUGGGUGUGGAUGAGUGGCGAACGGGUGAGUAACACGUGGGUAACCUGCCCCCUUCUUCUGGACAACCGCAUGAAAGUGUGGCUAAUACGGGAUAUUCUGGGUCUGUCGCAUGAUGGGUCUGGGAAAGAUAUUGUUUCGGUGGGGGAUGGGCUCGCGGCCUAUCAGCUUGUUGGUGGGGUGAUGGCCUACCAAGGCGGUGACGGGUAGCCGGCCUGGGAGGGUGGACGGUCACACUGGGACUGAGACACGGCCCAGACUCCUACGGGAGGCAGCAGUGGGGAAUAUUGCACAAUGGGCGCAAGCCUGAUGCAGCGACGCCGCGUGAGGGAUGGAGGCCUUCGGGUUGUGAACCUCUUUCGCCAGUGAAGCAGGCCUGCCUCGUUUGUGAGUGGGUUGACGGUAGCUGGAUAAGAAGCGCCGGCUAACUACGUG